CUAAUUUACAUGUUGAUUUGUAUUAAUCUGAAGUGUUUCUAUAUUUACACUGGAAGAAGAAAAAUGUAUGAAGUAUGGCAAUUUAAAUCAACGUUUCAAUGCUGAUGUUUUAAUUUGAUGAUGAUGGUAAUGCUCGUUGGUUUACAUCGUGUUUAUCAUAACCUUUGGUUUUAACAGCUUCACGACGUUGUUAUUUGCGUAAACAUAUUGGUUUCCCCGUUAGCCUCACAAAAAAACCCAACCCAAUAAAAGUUUUUAUUUAAAGGGUUAUAAACC
rnacentral:lncRNA from 1 species